GAUGAACGCUGGCGGCGUGCCUAAUACAUGCAAGUCGAGCGAACGGACGAGAAGCUUGCUUCUCUGAUGUUAGCGGCGGACGGGUGAGUAACACGUGGAUAACCUACCUAUAAGACUGGGAUAACUUCGGGAAACCGUAGCUAAUACCGGAUAAUAUUUUGAACCGCAUGGUUCAAAAGUGAAAGACGGUCUUGCUGUCACUUAUAGAUGGAUCCGCGCUGCAUUAGCUAGUUGGUAAGGUAACGGCUUACCAAGGCAACGAUGCAUAGCCGACCUGAGAGCGACAUCGGCCACACUGGAACUGAGACACGGUCCAGACUCCUACGGGGGGAAGCAGUAGGGAAUCUUCCGCAAUGGGCGAAAGCCUGACGGAGCAACGCCGCGUGAGUGAUGAAGGUCUUCGGAUCGUAAAACUCUGUUAUUAGGGAAGAACAUAUGUGUAAGUAACUGUGCACAUCUUGACGGUACCUAAUCAGAAAGCCACGGCUAACUACGUG
rnacentral:rRNA from 1 species